UAGGGAAUCUUCCACAAUGGACGCAAGUCUGAUGGAGCAACGCCGCGUGAGUGAAGAAGGCUUUCGGGUCGUAAAACUCUGUUAUUGAAGAAGAACGUGCGUGACAGUAACUGGUCAUGCAGUGACGGUAUUCAAUCAGAAAGUCACGGCUAACUACGUGCCAGCAGCCGCGGUAAUACGUAGGUGGCAAGCGUUGUCCGGAUUUAUUGGGCGUAAAGCGAGUGCAGGCGGUCUUUUAAGUCUGAUGUGAAAGCCUUCGGCUUAACCGAAGAAGGGCAUCGGAAACU
rnacentral:rRNA from 1 species